UAAAAAGUGGGUCCAGUCUAGAUCGAUGACUCCUACUAUUAUUGGGAUCUUAUUACGACAUUAGAGAGAAGAGAAAAAGACUUUACCUUUGUUCAACUUCAAACCCUAGAACAACAACACAAAGCUCCAGGGGACUACCUUUUCGCCAAUAAGGCAAAUAUAUAUAUCAUAAGCUACAAUGUCAGACGGUCAAGAGUCAGACAAGAACAUUGAGAUAUGGAAGAUCAAGAAAUUGAUCAAGGCUUUAGAAUCUGCAAGAGGUAAUGGUACCAGCAUGAUUUCUCUUAUAAUGCCUCCGCGCGAUCAAAUUUCUCGAGUCACUAAGAUGCUCGGUGAUGAAUUUGGAACUGCUUCCAACAUCAAAAGUAGGGUCAACCGGCAGUCUGUGUUGGGUGCCAUUACAUCGGCACAACAGAGGUUGAAGCUUUAUAACAAGGUUCCUCCUAAUGGUCUGGUGCUUUACACUGGAACGAUUGUUACCGAUGAUGGGAAAGAAAAGAAGGUGACAAUUGACUUUGAACCCUUCAAGCCUAUAAAUGCUUCAUUGUACCUCUGUGACAACAAGUUUCACACCGAAGCCCUUAAUGAACUUUUGGAAUCUGAUGAUAAAUUUGGGUUUAUUGUGAUGGAUGGAAAUGGUACCUUAUUUGGGACAUUAAGUGGAAACACAAGAGAGGUGCUACAUAAGUUCACAGUUGAUUUGCCAAAGAAGCAUGGUAGAGGAGGUCAGUCAGCACUUCGUUUUGCUCGUCUUAGGAUGGAAAAGCGGCAUAACUAUGUUAGAAAGACUGCCGAGCUUGCCACACAAUUCUACAUCAAUCCUGCUACUAGUCAGCCUAAUGUUUCUGGUCUAAUCCUUGCUGGUUCAGCAGAUUUCAAGACCGAACUGAGCCAGUCUGAUAUGUUUGAUCCUCGUUUGCAGGCAAAGAUAUUGAAUGUGGUUGAUGUUUCUUAUGGGGGCGAAAAUGGUUUCAAUCAAGCUAUUGAGUUAUCUGCAGAAAUUUUAUCCAAUGUAAAGUUUAUACAGGAGAAGCGCUUGAUUGGAAAGUAUUUCGAGGAGAUCAGCCAGGACACUGGUAAAUAUGUCUUUGGUGUAGAUGACACACUGAAGGCACUUGAAAUGGGUGCUGUAGAAACCCUAAUUGUCUGGGAAAAUCUGGAUAUUAACAGGUAUGUUCUGAAAAACAGUACUACCGGUGAGAUUGUCGUGAAGCAUCUGAACAAGGACCAAGAAUCUGACCAGAGCCAUUUUCGUGACGCACCUUCUUCAUCAGAGCUUGAAGUUCAGGAGAAGAUGCCAUUACUUGAGUGGUUUGCCAACGAGUACAAGCGGUUUGGUUGCACGCUCGAAUUUGUAACCAAUAAAUCCCAGGAAGGAUCACAAUUUUGCAGAGGAUUUGGUGGGAUUGGAGGUAUCCUUCGAUACCAGCUUGACAUGAGAUCAUUCGACGAGCUAUCAGAUGACGGGGAAGUAUACGAAGAUUCUGAUUAAGGGUCGAUGAAAUAUUGCUUAACAACGUUGCAGCGUAGUGGUGUGAGAUCCUCUUUCAGGUUUCUUCUCUGUUAGGUAUGACAUGGUCACACCAUGUUAUUGUGAUUUAGAGCAUGAUUGGCGCAACAUGGUUGGCUUGAACAACAAGAAACAAGCAUGCACUGCAUGAAGAUGGGUCUCGUGUUAAAUGAACUUUGAGUCCUUGACAGCAUUUUACAUUUUUUUGUUUUGUUUUCACUCGAGUUUUGUCCCUAGCCCAUUGAUUGUAUUACCUCGGCUUUUCUAGUGUUAAAAGACUUUUUUUUUUAUAAAAUGAUUUUGCUGU